CAAACGACUCUCGGCAACGGAUAUCUCGGCUCACGCAUCGAUGAAGAACGUAGCAAAAUGCGAUACUUGGUGUGAAUUGCAGAAUCCCGUGAACCAUCGAGUUUUUGAACGCAAGUUGCGCCCGAAGCCAUCCGGCUGAGGGCACGCCUGCCUGGGCGUCACGC
rnacentral:rRNA from 22 species